rnacentral:rRNA from 1 species
AUACCGCCCUAGUUCUAACCCUAAACGAUGCUGACCAGCAAUUCGCCGUCGUUAUUCCCAUGACGUGGCGAGACGCCCCCGGGAAACCUCAAGUCUUUGAGUUCCGGGGGUAGUAUGGUUGCAAAACUGAAACUUAAAGGAAUUGACGGAAGGGCACCACCAGGAGUGGAGCCUGCGGCUUAAUUUGACUCAACACGGGAAACCUCACCAGGCCCGGACACCAGAAGGAUUGACAGAUUAAGAGCUCUUUCUCGAUUUGGUGGGUGGUGGUGCAUGGCCGUUCUUAGUUGGUGGAGUGAUUUGUCUGGUUAAUUCCGGUAACGAACGAGACUCUGGCCUACUAACUAGUGGAUGGGUGUUCUGGUAAUGGGCCCCAUCCGAUAAUGUCUUCUUAGAGGGAUGAGCAGCGAGUAUAGCUGCAGGAGAUUGAGCAAUAACAGGUCUGU